UUUUUGGCGGUGAUGGGACAAAGACUACAGAGGCCACAAGCGUUUGGUGGAUAACAGAGAUGAUUUACUGUCAGCCCUUCAAGAAAUAGUUUGUCGUCCUGUCCGUCACCCCAAUCUACACAACUUCUCCGACGACAUCCGUCAAGGUAAUGUUUCUUUUCUUGAUUUUUGGUGAAACAACGAGAUCUCAACGCCGACUCGUGUCAAUUCUUCAUAUCGGCAGAUAUGAACGAGUUGAUUUACGUUUGAUUAUUUGUAAUUGAAGCCAACUGCUAAUUUAGGAUGAGUUGAUUUUUUGUGAUUGUAUAAAAGUUCGUUUGGUUAUUAAGGUAUUGUCAACAGUUGUCAUCAGUUUGCUUUGUUAAGUGGUUCAUUAGAUUUGAAGUGGAAGAUAGAAAGUGUUUUGACGGAAUCAUUAGAUAGAUAAAUACGUUUUCUAAGAACGAGUUAAUUAUAUUGUUGCAAUUUGCAUACAUCCUCGAUGCAUAUAGUGAGAUUGGUGGAGAACGAAAAGUUGGUUGUGGUUAGAGGUGCACAAAUCGGGUUUUUGUUAAUACCGGUACCGGGUAUGAUUGGAUAUUGGAAAAUCUGGUAUUAAGAGAAACCGGGUAGGGUUCGGGUACGAGUAUUGAAAAGAAAAGUCAUACCCUAUGUACCAGGGUAGGGUAUAAUCGGGUUUGGGUAUAACCGGGUAUUAAUACCGGAUUUUAAAAAAAAAUAUAUGUUUUUUAUUUACAUAAUAAUAAAUUCGUUUAGAAAUUAAAUUAGGUUUGUAAUUUGUAAAAGUAAUUAAAAACAAAUUACAGGGUUCGAGUAUAGGGUUGACAGGUUCCGGGUAUUUUCGGGUAUAAAUCGAGUACGGUUUCGGUUAUGGGUAUUGUGCUCAAAAUGUAUAACAUAUCCAUACCCUACGGGUAGGGUCGGGUUCGAUUACGGGUAUACAAUACCCAGGUACAAAAAUAACCGGUUUCGGGUUUUUCAAUCGGGUUCGAUUCCAUGUACGUUUUUUUUUGGUCAAGUUCUAUGCUCUUAAUUUUUAAAUGAAAAUGUAUAUAAUUAGAUCUCAUGUGUAAAUUUAGGUUUUACUUUCUGUUUUUAGUAGUGAGAGUGAAUAUGAGCAGCAACAGCAACCGGCAUAGAAGCGGUUGUUCUAAGCAGCAGCUAGGUAAUGAAUCAAUUAUUUUUUUUUAUCAAUUUACUUAUCAAUAGGCAAAUCGUUUGUUAAUUUUACAAAAGUAGUGUUCAGUUUGAUUAUUUAGCAAAUGGGUGUUAACUGUUGUGAUAGAUUUUGUGGUGGGUAAGUUGAUUUAUCCAAGAAUAUGUUGUUGAUAUUAAGAUUUGAUUGUUAAUUAUUAAUUGAGGAUCAUGUGGGUUAAAGUCUUUAUUUUUAGCAUACUGAGAUUAGUGAUCAUGUGUUUCUGAUAAAGUUAUCUUAGUAGCCUAAAUACUGGACUAUGUUUGGUGUCUCUUUAUAAAUGGAUUUUUGAUACAGUUACUUUUCGUAUACUUAAAGGAUCAAGGGUUUUUGGUAGGUGAUUUUGAUGGUUUUAGAUAAGACUGCUCGCUCUAUCUACAACUGGAUGUUUUCAAUUGAGCAAGGGAUAGCUGGUCGUGCAUUACUCUAUAUGAAGACAUCAUUGGAUCAUGGAUCAUGAUGUUGAAUUAAGGUAUAGAAGAAGAUUUGAGAACAUCAUGAAGGUGAUAUUCGAAGUACUUGAUAAGAGGACCGGUUGUUCCCAAAUCGAAAAGCACGCUUGGUCGGACUUUUAGCUCACAAAGAUCAUUUAUAAAUAAAACGAGUCCGAGUAAUCAUGAUAUAGACCAAUGGCUUUAGGGAACAUAGGGUAAUUUAAACAUGAUGGCAUGUGCAUUUGUGAGGUGGACAGAUCACUUAUUGGUUCGAUUUUGCACUGCAGAUUCAGUGUGGCAGGAGCCAUCUAUAUGGCUAAAAAUUCUAAGGAAUUUAUGGAACGCGAGAAACCGGAAAGUCUUUUAAUUAAAGGAACACUUCGAUCUAUGAAGUGGUGGAAGACAUAAAGGAUGAAUUGUUUGAAUGGGUAAAACAUAUAUGGCGAAAGGCACACGGGUGACAUGGAAUGAAUCGCGAAGAUUUUAUUUCGCGAAGAUUUUAUUUCUUUGUAUGUAGUAUGUUUGUUUGCUGUAGGAUGUUGCUUUACGAUCUGUAAGGAACCAAUAUAACAUCUUGCUGUUUUGUCUAUUUUGGCUAUGAGUUAAAAAUA